GGCAGAGCUGCGGCAGGUCGGCGUGCUCCGGGCCGGGGACCCGAGGGAGGCGACCUGCGGACCUACGACGGCCGAGGAGGAGGACAGAGAGCAGAGAAGCUGCUAGAAGCAAGCAAGGCCGCGGACCGAGGCCAAGGGAAGCGUACAGAGGCCAGAGGGGCGACGAAGACCCCAGGCUCGAGCGUCACAAGUCAGAGGAAGAGACACUUUCAAGGGGGCUCCCUUCGGCCCAGGGCGUGCGUGACCCGGGGUCCCGGGAUCGAGUCCCGCGUCGGGCUCCCCGGAGGACGCUGCUCCUCCCUCUGCCUGGGUCUCUGCCUCUCUGUGUGUGUCUCACGAAUAAAUACAUUUUUUUAGUAAAAAGUAAAAUCCCUAAGCCCCCAUAUGGGAAUAUGGAAGGGGCUGGUCCACGGGCGGUCCUGACGCCACGCUCCCUUGGUCUGAACGCGGAUCCUGCUGCCGCUGAGCGAGGUGACCCUGCAAGCUGCUUAACCUUUCACACGCAGCCGUGUUCGCAUCCGUCGAAUGGGAGAGUAACAGCACCCACUGGUACGGGGCUGUUGCGAGAAUGAAUAUGUGAAAGGCCCUGGCACAGUGACCCCCGGGAGAGCCUGCCUGGCCGUCUGCUUGGAAGCUGAGCACCACACUCGGGAGUAGGGCGAUGCAGGAGCAGCAUCCAGUUUCUCCCGCUCCCCUUCCCCUCCUUCCAUAUGCAGGAGGGAGUUUAAGCCAUAUUAGGUCUACAAUCUGUUCACUUUUUUCUUUUUUUUAGGUUGCUUCUUUAAUAGUUGGACAGGAAAGAAUGAGGAUUCUAGUAGGAUAGCCACCCACUGGGUAGUUUGCGAGCGGUCAGUUCCAGUAAUGCAGCAGGAAGCCACACUAGACCAAAACCUCAUUCUCUGACAACCCACCUUCAUCGCUUUCAUUUGACGUUUUAGCAUUCGCUGCCUUUGCCUUGCUUUUGUGCAAAAGUAUUGCAGCUGGACUUACUGUGAGGCUAAGUAAUCGUGGAUAGGCCACAGCAAGUCGCAGCCUCGGUUCUGUCCGUUGUCAGAUGGGGUGGCACCUGCACCUCGAGGACUACGCUGACGGCAAGCGGGCCUUGGCGUCUCAUCCGCGCGGGAAUGUCCCUGUGAGUCGUUGCUGCACAGAGGGAAGGCCACCUUGCAGCAGCCGCACCCCGCCCCCGCUUCGCGUAUGACCAGAAGGAUGACGCCCAUUGCGCUCCGGGGGCGCCACCCGCGCUCACGCGCACACUCGCCAGCACCUUCCCACGUGCGAGGCUGCUCCGGCCUCAGCGCCCCCCCCCCCACCCCGCAGCUA